rnacentral:rRNA from 1 species
AGAGUUUGAUCCUGGCUCAGAUUGAACGCUGGCGGCAUGCCUAACACAUGCAAGUCGAACGAGAUCACCUCGGUGGUCUAGUGGCGGACGGGUGAGUAAUACAUGGGAAUCUGCCUUUUAGUGGGGGAUAACGUAGGGAAACUUACGCUAAUACCGCAUACGCUCUACGGAGGAAAGGGGGGGAUCGCAAGACCUCUCGCUAAAAGAUGAGCCCAUGUCUGAUUAGCUAGUUGGUGGGGUAAAGGCCUACCAAGGCGACGAUCAGUAGCCGGUCUGAGAGGGCGUACGGCCACACUGGGACUGAGACACGGCCCAGACUCCUACGGGAGGCAGCAGCGGGGAAUAUUGGACAAUGGGCGAAAGCCUGAUCCAGCAAUGCCGCGUGUGUGAAGAAGGCCUUCGGGCUGUAAAGCACUUUAAGCACGAAAGAAGAAGGCUAUAUUAAUACCAUGACCUUUUGACGUUACCUGCAGAAUAAGCACCGGCUAACUCCGUGCCAGCAGCCGCGGUGAUACGGAGGGGGCAAGCGUUGUCCGGACUUAUUGGGCGUAACGGGUACGUAGGUGAUUCUAUGCGUCGGCACUGAAAGCUCCCGGCUUAACUGGGAGAGGCGUGGCGAUAUGAUAGACCUUGAGGCGGGGAGAGGUUAGCAGAAUUCCGGGUGUAGUUGUGAAAUGCGUAGAUAUCCGGAGGAAUACCUGUGGCGAAGGCGUCUAUCUGGCCCUGUCCUGCCACUGAGGUAAGAAAGCUUGGGGACCGAACCGGAUUAGAUACCCUGGUACUC